rnacentral:rRNA from 1 species
UAAAUAAAAAAGUUUAUUUUACCUAGGUAGACGAUAAGACCCUAAAACCUUUAUUGAGUGUUAAAUCUCUUUUUGCUGGGGAGGCAAACUAUAAUCUCAUAGUUUAUGAAAACAAAAUGAAUGAUUUUAAAUAACUUAAGGUUAAAUCCAAAAAGGUACUUUAGGGAUAACAGCAUAAUUUUUAUAUAGAGUUUACUUAUCGACAUAAAAGAUUAUGACCUCGAUGUUGAAUUGAUAUUACUUUACUAAGCAGCCCUAGUAAUUUGUAGGUCUGUUCGACCUUUAAUCUAUCACAUGAUC